ensembl:lncRNA
AUGGUUGUCAAGAGAAGCACAAAAAGCAUCCCAUUAGAAUGGCUUCAGUCUUUUCUCUCUCUGAUUUCCUCUCCAGGUUCUCCCAACAGGACAAUAAACUCAUCUGGAAGGCAGAGGGCCUGCCCAUUCAUAAACCUGUUGAUGUGGUCCCCAGAGUACCAGUUUAAGAUGGCAAGACCAACACUGUUGAUUCUGGGGCCAGAACUGGGACAAGUCCUUGAUUUGUCUACACUAGCUGUAUACACCAUCUACCUCCUGAGAGGAUUCAUUUUUCUUCCUAUUGCAACUCACUCUCGCAGAUGGAGCAGUCAUUUUGAGAGCAUGAAGAUGAAGAUACGUGAAAAAGCCAGAAGGACUCUGGUCUCUCAAGGUACCAUGAGACCACACCUACUACCCCAGUUUACCUACCUCCAGACAUCUCCAGAAGUCUUGCUCUGAGAAAAAUAAAAGCCCAUUUGGUUGACCA